CUGAUUUGGGAAAGCGGCUGUCCUUAGACCUUUGGAGGGGCAGCAAAGAGGGAAACAGGGGCAGCUGGGAAGAAAACCUGUAGUCUUUCUUCCACUGUACCCUGAAAAGAUUCACUGGGGUUGACUAGUUCCUCAUUUAAAGGAUUUAGGUCAAAAUGGGAUGAGCGCUAGCCUGGAAGUCAGAAGACCUGCAACCUCAUUCCAGCUCUG
rnacentral:ncRNA from 2 species